AGAGUUUGAUCAUGGCUCAGAUUGAACGCUGGCGGCAGGCCUAACACAUGCAAGUCGAACGGUAACAGGAAGCAGCUUGCUGCUUUGCUGACGAGUGGCGGACGGGUGAGUAAUGUCUGGGAAACUGCCUGAUGGAGGGGGAUAACUACUGGAAACGGUGGCUAAUACCGCAUAACGUCGCAAGACCAAAGAGGGGGACCUUCGGGCCUCUUGCCAUCAGAUGUGCCCAGAUGGGAUUAGCUUGUUGGUGAGGUAACGGCUCACCAAGGCGACGAUCCCUAGCUGGUCUGAGAGGAUGACCAGCCACACUGGAACUGAGACACGGUCCAGACUCCUACGGGAGGCAGCAGUGGGGAAUAUUGCACAAUGGGCGCAAGCCUGAUGCAGCCAUGCCGCGUGUAUGAAGAAGGCCUUCGGGUUGUAAAGUACUUUCAGCGGGGAGGAAGGUGUUGUGGUUAAUAACCGCAGCAAUUGACGUUACCCGCAGAAGAAGCACCGGCUAACUCCGUGCCAGCAGCCGCGGUAAUACGGAGGGUGCAAGCGUUAAUCGGAAUUACUGGGCGUAAAGCGCACGCAGGCGGUCUGUCAAGUCGGAUGUGAAAUCCCCGGGCUCAACCUGGGAACUGCAUUCGAAACUGGCAGGCUUGAGUCUUGUAGAGGGGGGUAGAAUUCCAGGUGUAGCGGUGAAAUGCGUAGAGAUCUGGAGGAAUACCGGUGGCGAAGGCGGCCCCCUGGACAAAGACUGACGCUCAGGUGCGAAAGCGUGGGGAGCAAACAGGAUUAGAUACCCUGGUAGUCCACGCCGUAAACGAUGUCUACUUGGAGGUUGUGCCCUUGAGGCGUGGCUUCCGGAGCUAACGCGUUAAGUAGACCGCCUGGGGAGUACGGCCGCAAGGUUAAAACUCAAAUGAAUUGACGGGGGCCCGCACAAGCGGUGGAGCAUGUGGUUUAAUUCGAUGCAACGCGAAGAACCUUACCUGGUCUUGACAUCCACAGAACUUUCCAGAGAUGGAUUGGUGCCUUCGGGAACUGUGAGACAGGUGCUGCAUGGCUGUCGUCAGCUCGUGUUGUGAAAUGUUGGGUUAAGUCCCGCAACGAGCGCAACCCUUAUCCUUUGUUGCCAGCGGUCCGGCCGGGAACUCAAAGGAGACUGCCAGUGAUAAACUGGAGGAAGGUGGGGAUGACGUCAAGUCAUCAUGGCCCUUACGACCAGGGCUACACACGUGCUACAAUGGCGCAUACAAAGAGAAGCGACCUCGCGAGAGCAAGCGGACCUCAUAAAGUGCGUCGUAGUCCGGAUUGGAGUCUGCAACUCGACUCCAUGAAGUCGGAAUCGCUAGUAAUCGUGGAUCAGAAUGCCACGGUGAAUACGUUCCCGGGCCUUGUACACACCGCCCGUCACACCAUGGGAGUGGGUUGCAAAAGAAGUAGGUAGCUUAACCUUCGGGGGGGCGCUUACCACUUUGUGAUUCAUGACUGGGGUGAAGUCGUAACAAGGUAACCGUAGGGGAACCUGCGGUUGGAUCACCUCCUU
rnacentral:rRNA from 2 species